UUUUGCGCCUCUCAGUUAGACGGUCUAUCGCUUUGGUUGAGGGGCUUUUGACUCCUUUCGCACAUACGCAGUUUAAGGAACUUCUCCGGCUCUCCUCCAGCUCCUCCUCCAACAAGGACAUUCCCCUGCAUAAAAACGGGGAUUUUACCCAUCGAAAGAGAUCUCGGAUUUCGAAUUUGGACCGUCCAUUUCAGCUGGCAAAUUCAACUCCACCGUUGCUUGAUAGCGUACCGGGUUCGGGUCGGUUUUCGCUCGGAGCUAAACCACGGACCAAAUCAUGGAUCUCUUCUCUCGUCCGGAAGGCACCUGAGAUAAGCUCCGAAUUAUGCGGUUUCCAUUUCUAUCAGAUUAACUACAAAAAGUCUGAUUUCUCUGUCCUUGCUUUUAAUUUUUUAAAAGUUUAAAGAGAUCAAUUAGUUUUUUGGUUAAUGUUCUUUCGUUGUUGCAACGUUUAAAGAGAUUAAUUGUGUUCCUUCAUUCAAUUACAAGUGUUAGUUAAUUUGUUAAGCUGUUAGAUCUUUGUAUUCAUUCACGAAGUGUAUAUAUAUUUGCAAUCUCCUUUUGUUUUAUGGGAAUGAGAGCAUCUUAUUAUUGAGAUCUGAAUUUUUCCUUGAGCAAAUGCAUUUCUUUCCUUCAAUAAUCUAAAUUCAAAAUUAAUCAUUUGUUAACUUGUUCUAUUGGUGUAGGUAAGGGUGCUGUGUGAAUUGUGACAAGGCUGAGGAGAUAUAAAUGGAAGAAAGCAAUGUCCAGGUGUCUUUUUUUUUAUUAUUAUUAUUUUAAUCUAUUUUAUUGUGCUGUCUCCAUACUUAUCCUUUUUUACAAGGAUUUUUGAUAUAUUGGCUUAAUCCUGUUUCAAAUAAGUUUAAUUUCAAA